rnacentral:ncRNA from 1 species
AGGAGCCGUGUGAAGCGAAAGUUUCAUGCACGGUUCUGAAGGAGAGGUUAGGGGGUAACUCCCUAAUCGACUCUAAC